UACGAAGGGGGCUAGCGUUGUUCGGAAUUACUGGGCGUAAAGCGCACGUAGGCGGGUUGUUAAGUCAGGGGUGAAAGCCUGGAGCUCAACUCCAGAACUGCCUUUGAUACUGGCAACCUAGAGACUGGAAGAGGUUAGUGGAAUUCCCAGUGUAGAGGUGAAAUUCGUAGAUAUUGGGAAGAACACCAGUGGCGAAGGCGGCUAACUGGUCCAGCACUGACGCUGAGGUGCGAAAGCGUGGGGAGCAAACAGG
rnacentral:rRNA from 1 species